GAUGAACGCUGGCGGCGUGCCUAAUACAUGCAAGUCGAGCGAACGGACGAGAAGCUUGCUUCUCUGAUGUUAGCGGCGGACGGGUGAGUAACACGUGGAUAACCUACCUAUAAGACUGGGAUAACUUCGGGAAACCGGAGCUAAUACCGGAUAAUAUUUUGAACCGCAUGGUUCAAAAGUGAAAGACGGUCUUGCUGUCACUUAUAGAUGGAUCCGCGCUGCAUUAGCUAGUUGGUAAGGUAACGGCUUACCAAGGCAACGAUGCAUAGCCGACCUGAGAGGGUGAUCGGACACACUGGAACUGAGACACGGUCCAGACUCCUACGGGAGGAAGCAGUAGGGAAUCUUCCGCAAUGGGCGAAAGCCUGACGGAGCAACGCCGCGUGAGUGAUGAAGGUCUUCGGAUCGUAAAACUCUGUUAUUAGGGAAGAACAUAUGUGUAAGUAACUGUGCACAUCUUGACGGUACCUAAUCAGAAAGCCACGGCUAACUACGUG
rnacentral:rRNA from 1 species